rfam:Gossypium raimondii chromosome 3, whole genome shotgun sequence.
AUACCGUGAUGAGGGAACUUUCGUAAUAAAUCCUUAAAUCACUCACAUGCCUCAUAUAAAGAUUCUUUGUCAAGUUGCUAAAAUGAAGUGAUUUCAUUUCGGAUCUU